rnacentral:rRNA from 1 species
ACGCGUAAGGAACUUGCCUCUUGGUCUGGGACAACUGUUGGAAACGACAGCUAAUACCGGAUAUUAUGAGAUUCUCGCAUGGGAAACUUAUGAAAGCUAUAUGCGCCAAGAGAGAGCCUUGCGUUCCAUUAGCUAGUUGGUGGGGUAACGGCCCACCAAGGCGACGAUGGAUAGCCGGCCUGAGAGGGUGAACGGCCACAAGGGGACUGAGACACGGCCCUUACUCCUACGGGAGGCAGCAGUGGGGAAUAUUGGACAAUGGGCCACAAGCCUGAUCCAGCAAUUCUGUGUGCACGAUGAAGGUCUUCGGAUUGUAAAGUGCUUUCAGUUGGGAAGAAGAAAGUGACGGUACCAACAGAAGAAGCGACGGCUAAAUACGUGCCAGCAGCCGCGGUAAUACGUAUGUCGCAAGCGUUAUCCGGAUUUAUUGGGCGUAAAGCGCGUCUAGGCGGAAAAAUAAGUCUGAUGUUAAAAUGCGGGGCUCAACUCCGUAUUGCGUUGGAAACUGUUUUUCUAGAGUACUGGAGAGGUGGGCGGAACUACAAGUGUAGAGGUGAAAUUCGUAGAUAUUUGUAGGAAUGCCGAUGGAGAAGUCAGCUCACUGGACAGAUACUGACGCUAAAGCGCGAAAGCGUGGGGAGCAAACAGAUUAGAUACCCUGGUAGUCCACGCCGUAAACGAUGAUCACUAUGUGUUGGGGGGUCGAACCUCAGCGCCCAAGCUAACGCGAUAAGUGAUCCGCCCUGGGGAGUACGCACGCAGUGUGAAACUCAAGGAAUUUGACGGGGACCCGCCACAAGCGGUGGAGCAUGUGGUU